GUCCUUUUGUUUUAUAUUUAAGGUUUAACCUGCCCACUGAAUAAUUUAAAUGGCCGCAGUAUUUUAACUGUGCAAAGGUAGCAUAAUCAUUAGUUUUUUAAUUAAAAGCUUGUAUGAAAGGUUGGACGAGGUAAAAACUGUCUUUAUUUAAAUUAUUAUAAAAUUUAAUUUUUAAGUUAAAAAGCUUAAAUUUUUUUAAAAGACGAGAAGACCCUAUAGAUCUUUAUAUUUAUUAUUUUAUUUUUAAUUAAGAUUUAUUUAAAUUUUAUUUUAUUAAAUAUUUUAUUGGGGUAAUAAGAAGAUUAAAAAAAUUCUUUUAUAUAUUAUUCAUUGAUUAAUGUUUAAAUGAUCCAAUUUUAUUGAUUAUAAGAUUAAGUUACCUUAGGGAUAACAGCGUAAUUUUUUUAGAGAGUUCAUAUCGAUAAUAAAGUUUGCGACCUCGAUGUUGGAUUAAAGAUUAAUUUAGGUGUAGAUGUUUAAAUUUUUGGUCUGUUCGACCAUUAAAUCUUUACAUGAUCUGAGUUCAGACCGGUGUAAGCCAGGUCGGUUUCUAUCUUUAAUAAAAUAAUAUAUUUUAGUACGAAAGGACCAAAUAUAUAAUAUAUAAAUAUUUAUUAAUUUUUGAAUAUUAUUAAUUACUUUGGCAGAUUAGUGCAAUGAAUUUAGAAUUCAUAUAUGUAAAUUUUUACAAGUAAUACUUGUUUUAUAUAGAUAUAAUAUUUUCUUUUAUUUGUAUAUUAUUAUUAGUUAUUUGU
rnacentral:rRNA from 1 species